rnacentral:lncRNA from 1 species
AUGGUCCUGAAUAGGAGGGAAAAGAUCUUUCAGGGAGAAUUUUUUGAAAUUCGCUUUGCUUGAAGAAUAAAGUACGAUAGCCCUCUCUGCGUACUUAAUAGUUCCAGCAACCAAACUUGGAGUGGCAGUAAAUGUAAGCAUAUCGGUUCUCCAGAAUCGUAGAUACACAAUAAUGGCCCCAAGACCUUGAGUAAUAAGCGAAGGAAAUUGUUUCAGUCAGAGCUCAUUGUCUUCUAAAGUGUAACGUCACGGGACAAGAGGUUUUGAGCCCGUGUGGCACUCUCGCAUCCCAUACUACCAGAGUAAGCCUAGUGGAAGUGGCACAAUAUCGACUGGUUUCCUACUGCCUUGGGCUCAUCAGGAGAACGGCUCUAGUUCCCAACCAGUGUGUUUAGGGUUUCGCCUAGACCCCUCUUCAAUAUUAAGUCCUUGACUAGCGACAAGCUCCCCAAACUCAACCAGAUUAGCUUGAACUCCAAGGACUCUAGGACCAUUGUGUUCCCCACACGCACGCGCCUGAAGCACGUCUCCAAUAAUCAGCACAACCAUUAUCGAUACUAGCAUACAAGCACAUAUCUUGGGUGUCGCGAUUGGGGCCUGUGACAGUAAGCUGUGAUAGUAUCCG